UACAGAGGGUGCAAGCGUUAAUCGGAAUUACUGGGCGUAAAGCGUGCGUAGACGGUUAUGUAAGUCGGGUGUGAAAGCCCCGGGCUCAACCUGGGAAUUGCAUUCGAGACUGCAUAGCUAGGGUGCGGAAGAGGGAAGCGGAAUUUCCGGUGUAGCGGUGAAAUGCGUAGAUAUACGGAAGGAACACCAGUGGCGAAAAGCGGCUUCCUGGUCCAGCACCGACGUCAGGCACGAAAGCCGUGGGGAUCAAACAGG
rnacentral:rRNA from 1 species